AGGGGGGAAAGGAGCAGGGCAGCAUGGAAAAGAGUUUUCCCAUUGGUUCUCUGCCUUUCCCUCUCCCUCCAGAUGGUGCCACACAGUUGUGCCUCCCUGUGUCAUAUACCAAGUGUCACUAAGUGUCAUCAGUGAGCCUUGGGAAUGGACACAUAUGUAAAUGAGAAAUAUUUGUAUAUAGGUACAAAUUUCCUGUUCCAUGCUUGCCCCACCCCUUUCCUGUUAUCUCCCAUGUGCCUAACCCAGUUGGUCAUUCUAAGGUUUUUCCUUAUUUAUGUAACUUGUCUCUUUUGCCACUCAAGGACAAAAGUGCCAUGAACACAAGAUUUUCCUGUGUUGUGUUCACUGCUUCCUCCUCAGCACCUAGAAAGAUGCCUUGCACCCUACCAGACAGUCAAACUAUCUGAUGAAAACAUGAAUGCAUUGCUGUUGGUGGUCACCACAGAGAAGACAGGCAUCAAUAAUGGCAGAUUCCCUUGUCCUGGAGAAAGAGUGAGUGUGGGGCCCAUUUCUCUGAGUGGGCUCAUUCCCAGAGCCAGUCACAGGCUACUCCAAGUGUGAUUCCUAAAUAAUCUUCUCCUGCAUAUCUGGGAUACAAGCCCAAAUGUGUACCUACCUGCCAUGAGACCUUCGACAAGUUACUCACUUCUCUGUGCCUCUGGGACCUCACAGAUGGAAACAAGGACUGUCAGAGGUAUAGCAGAUAUGGUUGUUAGGACGAGAGAAAUUCAAGGAUGGGUAAUGGGUGGUAAGACCCUACUUGGUGUCAAACAUUCUUUGGGCAUGUUAUGCACUUUAUUUCUCUGGAUUUUCUGAACAACCACAUAGGUCGGAAAUAAUUGACCUCAUCUUCCAGUUGAAGCCCAAAGGCACUUAGGAAGUAUUUUUCCCUAGGGAACAAGCAUAUCUGUUUGAUUCAUUGGGCUGUUUCUUUCUCUUUCCAAUCUGGAGGAGGAUUUCCAGAGCUGGAGAUGACAGUGAGGAGAGAAGGAGGAGGAACAGGCAACUUUGAACAACAUUAUACUCGGAUUAGAAGCAACAGAAAUUGUGGAAAUACACCAAACUACCAAGAAGUACAUAAAACUCCCUUUGUGCUUCCAAAUGUGAGGAAAAGUGAACAUUCUGGCAUUCUUCCAUAUAAGAAUGCUUCUGUACAGAUACUACAGGUUCAUGUUCAUAAGAGCUGUCAUAGCUGACAUGGUAUGUGUGAGGUUGUGGUUUGUUAUUGUGGAGAUGGUGCCUUUGUCGCCGUCCCUGGCUUCCCCUCCUAGGAUGCGGGCCCCAGAAAUGGCAGGAGUUGCAGCAGCUGGUCCCCUGCAGCUUCCAGACUCAGCCAGACCCAGCCAGCAGCUUAGCCUUGCAACACCUCUCACCUGAGGGUCUUGGUGUGAGCCCCAGACACAGCUUGGACCCCUGCGGCCACCUCUCCCUCCAGCAGACAGAGAGGGAAAGGCCUCCAUAUCUGAGCUCCUGGAACCAGGGUCCCAGCUCUUCCCCCUGUUGGGGCUGAGAAUGUGCACCUUCUCCCCUCCUCUCCUGGCUCCUACUCAAAGCCUUUCCACCCUGCUGCCCCUUCCUCGGUGGGAGGUUGUAGGACAUGCUGUCCUGCUCCUGCCCUGCCCAGAGGCCCCACCUGUACCCACGCCCUAUCUGGACAGAUGGAGGAGAAGGCCAUGGACUUGAGGCCACAUUUGUCCCCUUUGUAGUCAGCCCAAUGUUGGGCUCACCUUGCCCCAGCAGGAGGACAGUGAAAGGGCAGGGGAUGUAGGGACAAAGAAAAUUAAAACGGACCCUUUCCCCCAACCAACCCAAAGAAAGUUCCCUGCAUUCGGCAAUAUCCCCUUCAACCAUUUCUGCCAACCUCAGAGAAGCACUUCCCUUGGCCCUGCUCAGCAGGGCGCACACCUGAGGGUGGGAUCAUCUGGUCCCAGGUGAGUCAGUGAGAGGAGGGAGACUCGCUUUGUUACAGGACUUCAUGCAGGAUAAAGGAAGUGUGUGAAGGAUGUCCAGUCACAUUUCUUCUGCAUGCGCCAGCACACCUGCCUCACUGCCAAGGCUGCAGGGGACAUGGGGUCUGGCUGAUUAGCUCCCCUUGCCUCAA